AAAACAACUUUAUUGACAAUUUUAAGACACCUCAUUCAAAAGAAAUGCCUAGCAAACAUGUGCAGUAUUCUAUUAAUGGGUGCUCACUGGUCACUUCACUUUUCUUUUGUCUUUGAAGGCUGAACAUCUAAAAGGUAUACAAAUCGAAAUUCUGCUGCUCAACAGUGCAAAUAAAGCCUGACUGUCUGAUAGUCACAUUUCUUCAAACACCUGAUGUGCGUCAGAUAUUUAGAAAAAAGUCGGCUGGAAGAGCAUCAUACGCAGAAAUACUAAAUAGACCAAGCAAGAGGCCAAAAAUUAGAGUUGAAUCUGACCGGAAGGAGUAGUAGAGGGAAGGCAAUCACCAAAAGCGAAGUUCCAUAGAAAGAAGGAGACAAACAUAAGCAGAGAAUCAAAAAUCGAACGGUGACCAAAAAGAAGAGGUUUUACCGGCAAGAUUUUUAAUGAGGCAACAAUCCAAAAGCGUAUCAUACUCAACCGAUGCCAGAAUUUUUGGGGAAGCUAGCCUGAUGUCUAUGGCCCAAUGUAAAAGGGGUACAAGACAAAUCAGUGGGACCAAUAAAUCACAGAAUUUCUCAGAGCCACACCCAUAUGAACUGGGACUGCCGGCAAUCAAUGGUCGCGCCCUGCUUUCUCUUUUUAUACAUCUUACCAAGGUUCUAUAAAAAAUCCGGGACUAGCUUAUGUAUCAAUAGGAUGGUUUAUCCGUUCAAACUUCAGGAAUGAAAUAAGAAUUCUUACUUAUUCCCCAAUUAUUAUCGGGAAGACAUCUUUCAAACUCAAAAUGUUUUGGGCAAAACCGAACUCGGAGGCCACGUGGCCCGGAAAAAUCACUUCUAACACACGGCACAGCCUUAGAGCCUUAGAGCCUCAGAGCGUGCAAGUUUCAUGAAACUUUGUGCCAUUAAAUGAGGUCGAGACAUCUUCCUCACCAGGACCGAAAUCAAAAGGGCCCUCCUUUAUUAUGACUCGGACAAAUAAUUCCAGAUCACAAAAAGUGUUUCCGGAAGUGACAUGCCCGGAUUGAGUUAAAAAUGUUUACCUCAAACACUAAACGCAAAAGAAAAUUGAAAGGCGUGUAUCGGUCAACAUUUCGUAACUUAAACACCGACACCCAAAUAUGAACAUAGUUUCGAAAGUCGGGCAUAGUGAUUACGCCCUGACGGUUAAGUGUUAAAAAUAAAAAAGCCAACAGUUAACUAAGCGACGCACAGGCCAAAACAUUCAGUAAGGGCAUGAAGGCCCACAAGAUACAUACAUAAGCUAGGCAGGGAGGAAUAUCUUCACCGUCCGAGGAGUUAGCAGAGGCAUCAGAAGAAGAGGGUGUCAUAUCGCGGAGGUCAUCUAGAGUUGCUUCGGCGGAUGCUACAUCCACAUCGACUUUUAACAACGCUGAAGGGAUGUCUAUAGUACGACCCUCAUGAACCUCCGAGAGAGUAUCUGCCCGAGUCUUUAACACAACGAAGUCUUUAAUUAUGUUGGCAACAUUUUUGUCAGCAGCUCGGUGAAAGCCUCCAGUGCUUGGACCCGCCCUCGGGCAACUGCCCCCUUCGUUUCGACUUGAGCCGCCUUCUCUUGAAGCUCCUAAUGAUCGACCGUGAGAUGCUAAAGAACACUCUCCCGAUCAGACAAGGCCUUCUUAGCUUCCAGCCACCUUGAUACAAAGGCAGUCUGUCGAGAUGCGAACCCUGACAUAUCAGCCCGCGGGCCAAGUUCUCGGACUUCAACCUUUCUAAUUCUCCGGAUGCGGUAAAAGGCAUUCUCUUGACCAGAUCGAUGGUAGAAACAGUGCUAGUAUGGCCCUGCGUAAGGAAAAGAGAAGAUAACAUAGAGAUCCUGACAUAGCAUAAUAAGACCUUCAUAUAAAAAAAAACCAGUGAUGUACCUGAAGAAAUAGUUAGGCCAGGUGAGAGAGGGACACUUCCAAGCUAAGACUGAGUCCUUCAGUCGAAGUGGUGGAGCUGAGGGGUCGGCACCUGCAUCGCCGGUCACACGCUCAGCAUCUUAGGGUGUAGCGUUCCCUGGGCAAACCACCACGCUCUUGGUAGCAACAUUAGAAGGCCCCCCGGUGUUCCGACUAACAAUCUUCCCCUUUUUACCUUCAUCCUGGUUCACCAUGCCCUGAAUAGUUUCUUGCCAAUAUUGAAUGAGCCUGCAAGGAAUUCCAUUAAUAACUGGCUGUUUUGAUUCUUUGCAACAACUCGAUGAAUUUAGUAGAUUAUUUUAGGAGACCCUAAUAACUAUAGAUUGAACCUAUCCAAUUUUUACAGUUGUGUCCUUACUCGGGAACCAAUCCCCCCGGAGAAAGAGGCGCCGGCAUCAGCCGAAGGCCUUUGUUUGCGAGAAUCAGAGGCAGCGGCCUCAAUAUUUUCAAUAUUGACUAGGGCUUCCUCCCGGUAAUGAACCCUCCGGGAUGAAGAUCCCCGAACAGGAAGGAUUGCAGAAGAAAAAGUAUGUGGAAGUCCAGUUAUAAGAAGAUGCGAUUAAAAGAAAGUAACAUAAGGAAAAGAUUCUCUAGCUCGCCAUGGCUCUUACCCCUCCAAUGGUUGGCAGAAAUACUCCUUUAGGUCCUCUCAACCCUGAGAGAUGCGUGCAGAAUGGCCAUCAGUUAGCUAAAAAGGUCGGGCAUAAAAUCUUAUUCAACUGGGACCGCUGUAAAUAAGAGUAAUGUACAAAUUAAGUACAUACGAGCAGGAUUCCAUUAUUCCAAGAGCGGAUCAGAAGACGCACGAUGCAAGAAAUUGGUGUGUAUCAUCACGAAUCGAUCGUACCAGUCGCGGUCAUGAUCAUCCUCAGUACUGGUGAUCAAGCCUUGAGAGCCCAAAUGAAUCAUCCCCCCCACAGAACGUGCGAGAGGAGUAUAUGAGAGUCAGAUGGUCCAGAGUGAAAGAGAGCCCGACUAGGUCAGCCAGAUACUGAAUGCAUUGAACUAUUCUCCAAAUUUGAGGCGCUAAUUAAGCGAUGCAGACUCGGUAGUGGCGCCAAAACACCUCAAUCAUAUCAUGCACAAGCAGGAGAAACCGAUGGUGAAAGGGUAAGUAUAAAUUAUCGACAUACCAGCAACAUAGUGAGAAAUGUUAGUGUCCUCAGGGGCCACAAAAAUCUCAACCUCGGGUUCCCAUUGGCAGUCAGUCCGAACUUGGAGACGGGUGGAACCAGUGAUCAAGGAGUGUAUCUCCAUAACCGACCCCAAUUUCUAACUGAUAUGAAAAUCCUUCAUAAAAUUGAGAAUUGGGGGAAUGAUGUCACGGUAGUCGACCCCAAGUCAAUUUCUUGUGUAUCGGGUGAGGAGUAGAUGUCGUUUCCCUGGUCGGAAGAGGCAUCAAAGGCCCUGUCUAGUCGGUCCUCUGCAGGGAUAGGAGUUUGGUAUUGGGAAGAAGAUUUUAGACAUUAUCCUCUUGAGGGGAAAGAAGGCAAGAAAGGGAGAAGGGAAAAAUUAGAAGCAGAUGGUUGAGGUUUAAGGUAAUAAUGUUCUGUGGCGUUUGUGAGGGAAAUUGGUGGAUUAAUUGGCGGUAUAAAUAGGGGAAGGAUUAAUCAUAGGCCUCGAUUGACGAAGCGGCAUGCCUGAUUCUAUAACCAUCAUUCGCUGCCUUUAAAACGGUGCCGCCGAAUGAGUGGAUGAGUACAUUAAAUGUUGUCCUGACAAUAUGUCUAAUCGUGAGAAAAGUGGAGACGUUUCACUAGUUUCCCGCAUCAAAUUCAAAAAAGACGGACUCUUCUACUUCCCGGGCUCAUGUUAUGGAAGACCCGGAAAGUGGGGGACUAUCUGUAUUGGGUCGAAGCACCCGAGGUUAAUUUGUGCGACUGGAUGCUCAAGUGUUCCGGGGGAUCCAUACAGCUAGCUUCCACUGCUACCAACUCGUGUCACGUCUACCGACCUCGAUCAGAGCGUCGUAUCAUACACGAAUGUUGGGGUCACAGAGAGGUCACAUCACCCGUACUUUAGGGGUUGAAAAGUCCAACUUUGGCUUAUAUAAUGAUAGCUUAGGAUAGAAGGAAGGGCAUCUUGCUCACAUUUUAUAAACCCUAUCUCUCUUUUCUCUCUAAGGCAAUAUAGACAAAAACAUCCAUUAUUAAUCUGUUUUUCUUGUAUCAUUUUCUUGUUUGUUAUCUCGCAUUGUGCUACACCCGUGCUCAUUGCUACUCCAAACCGGGCUCAUAACAGAGUUUUCAGAAUUGGAUACGACUCACUUGUCUUCAAACCCUAUAAAAAUAAAUCUCUAACUGAUUUUCUUAUCUAGUUCGUUCUCACCGGAAAACAAAUCAAGUUUUUAAUUAACUAACUCUCUCUACUUAUUACAAAACUGCCACUGUCACUAAUCUAUUUUUCAGCUAAUACAAAUAAUCUCAAAACCCCCCUCAAGUUGGAGGUGAUGUAAUCACAACCAACUUGCGCAAGAUGGAAGAAUGUUUGAUCCCAGUUAAGGCCUUUGUGAAAAUAACUACUAGUUGGGAAUUUGUGGAAAUGUGGUGGAGGGUGAUUAGUCCUGUAGUGGUUCGAUAUUUUUUCCGAUUCGUAUUUGCACUUGCCUCAUUUAAAAGGAAAGUGUCCCCGGGAAGUACGGUUGUUAAUCGUACCGGGAAAAAGAAAAAAUAUACCUCUACGUGAUGGUGCUCUAAAUGGACUUUAUUUUUUAGAGUCGCCACUUAAUUUUUAUAAAAUUAGGAAAACUAGUUCGGAAGGGUUCAUUUAAAAUGGUUAAGUUUUAAAAGAAACCAAUCUGUACCAAAGUUUGGGUAAGGGUUCUGGUGAUCCCCGGGGAAGGUGUUAGGCACCCCGGUAUUAAGGAUCUGUAAAAUACGGUUGACCUACGGGUUUUAAUAGUAUGCCCUGUAGAUAUAGUUGUUUAUCAUAAAAACUGCUUUUGUUUAUAUUUUCGCAUACAAGAUGUGUCAUUUAUGCAAAAGUACUCACCUUUCAAGAAAUGAAAAUGGUAGAGUUUUGCCCAAAAUUGGGCGUUUUGGGUUUCGGACUAGAACACCUAGGUUAAAACCCAGAGGCGUUAACCUAAGUAGAACACUACGUAAGCCCACCCGAGUUUAGAAAAGGGUUUUUUAGUUUUAAGUUUUAUAAAAUCAUUUUUUGGCAUACUAUUAUUAUUAUUAUUAUUAUUAUUAUUAUUAUUAUUAUUAUUAUUAUUAUUAUUAUUAUUAUUAUUAUUCAUAUUUUAUAUUAUUUAGAUUUUUAGUCUUUUUAGUCCAAUGUCAGUCCAGGGUCAUUUAAUCCAUUUGUCCAAAUUGUCCAUAGGUACGGUCCCAAUUUGUCUCAAUGUCCAUAAAUUGCCAAGUCCUUUUUGUCCACAAAAUUAUAUUUUUAAGUUUGAGAAAAUGUCCAUUUUUUGCCCACAAGUCCGUUUCUGUCUCAAAAAAUCAAUUUUACACGCCAAUUAUUAUCAAAAAUCAGUUUUGUUACUUGGAAAUGAUUUUUAGCAACUCUAAAUUUGUGACGAUUAUUAAAGGGUUCCAAUAAGCAUAAAAUAACAAAUAAACAAUGUAAAGUACGGAAAUGGGCCUACCAAGCCCAAUAGAAAAAUAAAAUAAUGUAAUUGACUUAUUCCGCUCCAAUUUUCUUGCUCCAAUGCUAGGUUCGUCCAUGGUUGAAGUCGACUCGAUCUAGGAAAGUUAGUGGGCCUCGUUGAGACCCAUCAACUGGUUUGGGUGGACAAGGAUGCAAAUGAGUAUACAUGAUAUUAGAAUACACUCAUAGAUUAAACUAAGUACACAAUUUAAAGCCUACAAUAAUUAUUACAUAGCCAAAAAUAAAUUACAGCGUUAUUGGGCCAAGCCCAUACAUUAUAACUAGCAGCAGUAGAUAAUUAGAUGGUUCAAGUAAAAUAGGCCUAGCAUAGUAGUAACAAUAAGUCAAGUAUGAAAACACGGAUGACAAGGCCCAAGCCCAAGCCAUUCUCUCCUUAAAAAAAUUUCUAAGUGUCAAGAGGUGGUACACCUGAUAUACUACUGGUGUACUACUCUAUUUUUCUCAAAUUCCUCCUAAGUAUCAAAACUCUAAUAUACAUGAUAUACUACUAGUAUACCACUCAAUCUCCUCUCAAAAUUUCUAAGUAUCAAGACCGUGUAUACGAAAUAUACUCCAAUGAUAUACGACUAAUGGUGAGCAAAACCCAAAUGGCAUACUCUCCAUAUACCUGAUAUACACUCCUUAUACGCACCAUGGGAGAGCAAAACCUUAAGGCAUACCCUCCCAAUUCACUUAAUAUCCAUUUUUUUUGUUAACUCAAAUAGAUUUUUUAGAAAGUCAAAAACCAAUUCACACAUUCAUUCUAGGACCAGUGUUUAGGUCAUUAGUUGGUUUAGGAGGAAUGCAAAUUCCCAGAAGCAAGCAAGCAAAGAGGAUUACCCAAACAGCAACAACAUGCAAAAGCCAAAAAGCCACAUAGCUCAACAAUUUUUAGUAAUGUAACUUAGGCUAAUGAGUCCCAAGGAGGGGGGGGGGGGGGGUGUUAAAAUGGCUAAGGAAACAAGCAAUAGCUACAUCAAAAGGAUGAGGGGACAAGGGAACAUGAAAUCAAGCACAACAAGAUGGAGAGAUACACAAACAAACUACCAAACACACCUUCAUAUUUCUAUUUCCAGUUUUAAAGAGUCAGCAAUCAAAGAAGGGGUAGAACUAGAGGUUAAAUGACUUAGAAGUCAUACCUGUCCAGUGAUGAACCAAUUCAAAUACCAAAAACUAUUUGUCAAGUCUGUUUGUUAUCAACAAAGGUGUCACAGAAGCAAAUUACAAAUCCAGGGUCAUUUUAGCUUAGUUUUAAUCUCAGCAAGUUCAGAGAUAGCAAGAUUGGCAAGUCACAGGUUCAUCAAAGCAUUAGUAGGACCCCAAGAUAGUUCACACUUAGUCUAUUUUACAGAAUUUGCACAGAAAUUACAUGUUACACCUUGGAAAACCUUCCGUUGGUACGCAAGUAAAUGAUCCAGUGAGGAGUACGAGUAUACGAUAUUUCCAUAAGUAAGAAACAACGUUUGACGACCCUAAGUAAGAUUCCGAAGGAAAUUGCAAUAAGAGAUAGGUUAUGCUCCACAAAGACUAAUUAUAGGUUUUGGAAAUGUGAAAAAUUGCAGGUUUGCAUUCUGGCCAGUUGCACGUAAAAUGAAAUACGGACCGUAAAGUGGUAUACGGCCCGUAAACUGCCAUGUCGUAUUUUGGCUUCCAAAACUUCAACUUUGUGCCAAAUGAGCAAAUGGUUAAAUACGACCCAAAAUACGGACCGUAAACUAGUUUACGGCCCGUAAACUGUGUCCGUAAAUCACCACGUCUCAGCCUGAGUUUCUGGUUCUGAUAGGAUUAUACACGACCACGAAGGACGGUCCGUAAAAUGGAAUACGGACCGUAAACCAAGUUUACGACCACUGUGCUUUCUUUUAAGAUCAGAUUUUGGGUUAUUAAAUAAGGGACCAAGUUUAUUAUUUCAUUUCCACAUUUCAUCCCUUCUCUCUAAAACAUCUCUCUACAUUUAUUCCACAAGAUUUCAAGGAUUAUUAGUCAUCAACAACACAAAUCAAGUGAAUCAAGUGUAAGGAAACCCAUUAAGAUCAUUCAAGUCAAGAAGAUCUUAUUGAAGGAAAACUAGGGUUUUUGCUCAAGUGGAGUAUUUCGACCAAGGCUCGUUCCUACAAUAUCUAAGGUAAGAUUUAUGGUAUAUAUAUGUUGUUUAAGGUAUUUGAGAGUUAAAAUGCUUGGACAUUAGAUGAGUAUAGAAAAAUGGGUCAUGAAUGAUGAAUAAUGACAUUUUGAGAGAUAGUUUGAAUUGAACCAUGAUUCUUGUUGUGUUGUGAUAUGAAUGUGUUAUAAAUGAUGUUAAGAUCAUGCAAAUGGGCAUGUUAUAUGAAUGGACGAAGUCGGGUGAUAUGACCAUGAAUAUGGGUGAAUUGGGAGCGAAUUGAGAAAUCUAGAUAAUGUGGUUAACGUAAAUGAUUAAUGGCCAUUGUUAUGGUAUUGUGAAUGUAUUGUUGACGUUUGGGAGUUGAAUUACGAUAUGGAGGAAUGUUGUAUAAAUAAAGGAGAUGCUGUCCGAUUUUCUCUAGCUUUAGCCAUGUGUGCUAGUUGUCGAUUCUAACGAUAGUAUGACUUUAAUGAAGGUAUAAACGCAACCGUUGAAAGAGAACGUGCAAGUGGUAAAUAGUCGAACGGAAAAGGUAUGUAAGGCUAACCCUUCUUUCAUAAGGCAUGGUUCUUUGGCCAAACAUCUAAAUCUUCCAUAAGUCUGUGAUGUCUCAUAAAUGAUUCAAUCUUCCGAGCUAUUAAGCUCACGAUUCUUGGUAUGCUACGAUUGUACUAAGUUCCUUGUAUGACGAGUAAGCCUUGUUGACUCCCAAUUUUGUCCCGCCUCUCCUCCGAAAUACCUAUUUACGCUUCUAAUAUUUUUUGGAAAAUUAAAAAAAUAUAUUUAUAUUUUACUAUAAUUAUUAGCCUCUUAUCAAUACCGGCGUUUCAUUAUUCUAUUACAGUUACUAGCUAUUAUUGUUAUUAUUAUUAUUAUUAAUUCAAAUACGAGCCCAAUUCACCCCAAUAUUUUCGGAGUAACCCAAAACAAUUUUCAUAGGCCACUAUCCAUUUUAAUUCACCCCAGCCCAAAACAAAUAAAUAUCCCAGCCCAUAUAUUUUCAGCCCACCACAUCCAUUACCCGACCUGACCCGAUUGGCCCAUUUCCUUUUAAACAAAAGAUUAAACCCCUAGGGUUUCAUCUCUUCUCCUCAGCGCCUCCCUCGACCCCUGUUCUCUCUCUCUUCUCUCCUAUCUUUCAUCGUCACCUCUGUCUCUCCCAUUUCCCCUGUUCCCCACGCUUCUGCCACCCCCACUUCGCGUUGUUCCCCACGCUCCUCUCUAACAAACCCUAGAAUCGCCCUAUAAAUGAGGUCUUUUUGAUUCAUGAAAGGGGAGGCGAAAAAACCCUUUAAAAAACAUAUCUUGACAGAUCGAAAAUCUCUUGAAGAGAAGUUGUUUCAGUGGUAAAAAAUUCCCCUGAAAAUUGAGUGUUGAAUAAUUUGUUUUAUCCUCUUUUGUUGCUUCUGUUACUGUUUCGCAUCCGAGUCUGCGCAAACUCGGAGAUUCGAAGUGUUCGGGUGUGAAUCGGAGACCCUUGCAGCCUAGUUCGCUGCACCCCAAAAAGGUCAGUAAUUUUCAUGCCUUAGUAAUUUCAGUGUUUGAAUUCUGUUUUGUUUAGCUCCUAUGGUUCAAGUGGUUAUGCUUAGUUUAUCGUCAAAUCCCGUUUUAGCUUUUGGAAGUUUCAUGAUUAGUUCAAUGAUUAAUAAUCAGUUUGUCAUGAUUGGUUAGUUGCCACUGUUAGUUUGUGGUUAGUCUACGGUUUGGAUUGAUUGGAUAUCUGAUCUAGUUAAGAGUAUAUGAGAAUAUACUGGUUUGAACAUGUUUCCCUUGCUCCCAAAUACCGAACAUGUUUCCCUUGUUCCCAAAUACCCAGAAACAUUUCACUGAGCCUAUGUUUUGUCCAGAGCCUGGUUUUAUUAGUUUAAUCCAAUUUGUGGCUGAAUAUUCUUUAUAGUUCAGGUAUGACAUAAGUUUUCCAUCUCUCUCGUCAUUUCUGGUUACUUGUUGUAUGAAUAAAGGCACGAGUACCAGCUUGUUUUUCCCUUUGUGGUUAUAAAAAUGAUUUUCGGAUAUAUCAUUUUCUAUGUGUUGGUUCCUUUUAUGCUGCUUAGCAUUCUUUGAGACAUAAUUAGCCUUUCCUCUAUUUGCAUUAUAAUCUAAGUACGCUCUUAGUGAGGUUGAGUUUGACUUGAUACGAAGCAUGCUAUUUAGAUAAGCGAGCCUAGCGAAGUAUUUAGAACAAGUUGUUUUGUGGUGUGUGUAAGCAUUUCUUGACUGGCUAUCUUGCUCCUUGUCGAAUAUGUGCUCCUAUUUAAUUUGAAGAUUAUGGUGUUGGAUAAAUCAUCAUUUGGUUCGAGUGUCAAGACUGGUCUUUGAAUGAUUAAAACACUUCUAAAAACAAAUCCCUAGUACUCUCACUCUAUGUUAUCCCAUGAAGUGAACUGUAUGUGUUUAGUCUCUUUGAGAUAUAAUGAACCAGUUUUUUUUAGCGGUCUUCCAUGCUUCUUUUUAUUUUCAUUAGCUCAUUCCUGCCAUUUUAGAUCAUUGUCGAAGUGUUAAGUUGGUUGCUGUAUUUCUAUAAAAUGCUUUAUUGCCGCUACUACAUGCUUAUUCUGGAGCCUCUGAGAAUAGCUGGACAAUCUCGUUUGAGAAUUCUUUCUUUUCCAAAACUUUUUGUUUCAUAUGCAUUCAUCCAUGAGAGGUCUUUUAAGUUAUAGUAUAACUACAACAUGUUAAAACUAAUCCACUAGGUAUUAGCCUACUGAACCUUUUGCUAGUUGAUUUAACUGCAUGAAUACUAGAACAAUUAUCGAUUUCCUAGCUAAAAUAUUCUGUCUACAUGUUUAACUGCCCAAUUUAGUCGUUGUUGAAAAUCCCCUAUUCUUUCCUUUUCAAGAAAAUCAUGUUCAGGAGUCAUUUUUUUUACUAAAUUUAAGGAAAGAACUACUCUCAGUCUAAGACUAAUCUGAACUUUUGGGGAUGGGUAUGAGUACAUGGUCUAAGAUUAAUUUAAUCUAACAGCCUUGUUCUUGGUUAGAUUUCACUCGCACCAGAUCAGUCCUUCCCUUUUCUCUGUUUAUUAAGAAUAUGUUUGAAUGUCAUGUUUAGAACUUAUUGGAAUGCAAGAGUUGUGUGAUGGAGAUUAUGUUGGUUGUUUCUCGUUUUCGUUAACAAAAAUAUUUGAAUGAGAAUGACUGUGUUUUCCAUCAGAGUAAAUUGAAUAUGUUGGAAAACCUUUCUGGGAAAUUUCUCUUUUGUGGCCUAAAGUCUUUUAUGUGGAUUCACUUAUCUAGCUAACAUGAAUUAUGCCGAUACUUGUAUUGUUUCUAUGCUAAUCUUUAUUUCACCUUCUUUUACAUGUACGCUUUGAGAGCAACAUGGAGUCUUCAUACAAGACUCUCACCGCCGCAAGCAGUCUCGUUGGAGAUUAACGUCUGUUGCCGUUAAACCCAAGACUUGACUUACAUAUCCAGUAACGCCUCUCAUGCUCUCGAAAAAUGCAUCCAAACAGAAUACAACAGAGAGAGGAGAAACAACGGAACUCCCCUUCUUAUUGUGUCAAUCGAUUUUACGCUUUAUAUAUUUCUUACAGAUCUCAUGACUUGCUAGCAUAUUUUUAUUUCCUUUCAUAGGCAUGGUUAGUUUUAGAGUACUUCAGGUAGUUAACCUUAUGGGGUAAUUUAGCGAUAACGGAUUUAGAGUUCAAGAGAUUUUGAAGUGACGCCUUAAAGAGUUCAUUAAUUUAAUCUAUUUUCAUAGGUUGAGGAUCUUAAGUUAUUAAUCUGAUAGAAGUUUAUCUCUAAC